GGGGGUAUAGCUCAGUGGUAAAGUAUUCGACUGCAGUUCGAGAGGUCAUCGGUUCAUGCCGGGUGUCCUCU